rnacentral:rRNA from 1 species
AUAUCAGUCAUGCAUAGCAUAUCAAUAAGCGGAGGAAAAGAAACUAACAAGGAUUUCCCCUAGUAACGGCGAGUGAAGCGGGAAGAGCUCAAAUUUGAAAUCUUAAAGGGUUUCCCUUUACGAAUUGUAGUUUAAAGAAGUGUUUUCUGUUGGAGUUUUGGUAAAAGUUCUUUGGAAUAGGACAUCAUAGAGGGUGAGAAUCCCGUAUUUGACCAUUAUUUCCAGCUGUGUGAUACACUUUCAACGAGUCGGAUUGUUUGGGAAUGCAGUCCAAAAUGGGUGGUAAAUUUCAUCUAAAGCUAAAUAUUGGCGAGAGACCGAUAGCGAACAAGUACCGUGAGGGAAAGAUGAAAAGAACUUUGAAAAGAGAGUUAAACAGUACGUGAAAUUGUCAAAAGGGAAGCGUUUGACACCAGUGUUGUUUUUCCGAAAAUCAAUUACGAAUGUUUUGUUUUUGAGGAGUUAUGACUUCAUCGGCUUGCUCCUUUCUUUACGAAACUUUCUUAAUGCACUUUUCGGUUAACAAGUCAACAUCAAUUUCUUUUGUUGUAAAAGGGUAUGAGGAAGGUGGCUUUCUUUUCGGAGAAAGUGUUUAUAGCCUUGUGCCUCUGCAAUCGGAGAGAUUGAGGUCUGCAGCGUAGAUCCUUCGGGGUUAGAUACAUUUGUGCUAAGUUAUAGCUUUUCAUAGACAACUUGUUGACUAUGUUUAGUCUUGUAGCUUACUCGCUGACGCUAUUUUACCUACGCUUAGGAUGUUGAUCUCUCACAGUCGAG